rnacentral:lncRNA from 1 species
CAACUCCAACAGCCCCCGGAUCCUUGGAGAGCUGCCCACAGAAGGCAGAGGUUCGUGUGCCUUUCUUCCCGAAUUAACCACCAACACGUGUGUCACUGCUUUGCUGUUGACCCCACGCCUUUGCUGUUGCAUAAAGGCUGCAGUUUAGCACGGGCAGUGCCUUUGAUGUCAGGGCUUGGCCAGCACCUCGUGCUGUAGGAUCCCAGUUCAUCUCUGGGGCAUCUCUGCUUGGGAUCGAUGGUGAAAGGACAAGUUAUGGGACGCAAGGAACCUUCAGGAUGCCUUGGGAAUGGAGGGGAUGCAGCCAGUUUGGGUCCUGUCUCUUUUGGUCCAGCAGAAAACCGUGUGUGCGAUCAGAGCUGGGAAAGUGCUCCUGCUGGCUGUAAUUAGGGAUGUCAUUGCAAAGCAUUAUCUCACAGAGCUGGAGCCUAUACAGAGCCAUACGUCCUCCGUAGCCAAUUGUGCACGGAGGUGAUGGGAGAGGGAAGGGUGCUGGGAACGCUCUCCCUCACUCAUUUCCAGGACGUUCUGCUGCUGUGUGGUCCCUUUCCCUUCUCACAGAGCAAUGAUGAAAGCAGACAGCCAGCAAGACCCCGGGGAGCCGCGCAGUGCAGCCCAUGGCUUCUCUUCCAGCCAAGGCUGUGUGGAGCUGCGGGUCCUCACCCCCAGCUGGGCUCAGCCCACUCCUCCAUUUCCCGUUCGCUUUCUCCCAGAGCAUAUUUUCGGGACGUGGAGAUGUCCCAACCCUCCCUUCCUCCCCAGCGGUAGCGCAUCUCGGAGGGGCCACGAGGGCCGUCGCUGCCGGUCCUGCUCUUCUCGUAAAGCACAGCGAGCUUCUGGCCAGCAGCAGCCAUGCAAUUUCAGAGAUUGAGCAAAUUCCCCCUCCCACCCACUGAGGACCUCCCGGGACCGGCGCACAUCCCACCACAGGCAGCAGCCACCUCGGCCAGCCGCCCAUUGCUGCAACGGCUUGAGUCAAUCGAGACCAUUUCUCAUGCAACCCAUCCGUACCGGAGGUCCCCAGGAGGAGGGUUGGCUCAGGAAAACCUUCAGCCCCAAACCCAGCACUCCCCCAUGCAGCUGACGGAGCACAGCUCACAGCGCAGUGACCCAAAGUGCUGCGCCGUCUGUGCCACGUCCAGCUGGCCCUUCCGCUUUGCUGGCGUGCUCCUUCCUGCUUUUAUUU